rnacentral:rRNA from 1 species
UGCACUGAUUUCAACAAUGAAGCGAGUGGCGAACUGGUGAGUAACACGUGGGAAAUCUGCCCAGAAGCAGGGGAUAACACUUGGAAACAGGUGCUAAUACCGUAUAACAACAAAAUCCGCAUGGAUUUUGUUUGAAAGGUGGCUUCGGCUAUCACUUCUGGAUGAUCCCGCGGCGUAUUAGUUAGUUGGUGAGGUAAAGGCCCACCAAGACGAUGAUACGUAGCCGACCUGAGAGGGUAAUCGGCCACAUUGGGACUGAGACACGGCCCAAACUCCUACGGGAGGCAGCAGUAGGGAAUCUUCCACAAUGGACGAAAGUCUGAUGGAGCAAUGCCGCGUGAGUGAAGAAGGGUUUCGGCUCGUAAAACUCUGUUGUUAAAGAAGAACACCUUUGAGAGUAACUGUUCAAGGGUUGACGGUAUUUAACCAGAAAGCCACGGCUAACUACGUGCCAGCAGCCGCGGUAAUACGUAGGUGGCAAGCGUUGUCCGGAUUUAUUGGGCGUAAAGCGAGCGCAGGCGGUUUUUUAAGUCUGAUGUGAAAGCCUUCGGCUUAACCGGAGAAGUGCAUCGGAAACUGGGAGACUUGAGUGCAGAAGAGGACAGUGGAACUCCAUGUGUAGCGGUGGAAUGCGUAGAUAUAUGGAAGAACA